rnacentral:lncRNA from 1 species
CUUCUCCUCUUCCUUCUUCUUCUCCUCCUCCUCCUCCUCCUCCUUAUUUUACUUCUUAUUCUCUAUCUCUUCUUCUACGUAGCUUAGACUCAUCCAAGAAAGGCUAAAUUGGCUAAUUAUCCUACGAAAUGACAUAAUUAGCUUAGUUAGCUCCAAAAUGGCCUAUUUAAUAAAAAGUGACCUAUACUUAGCUAAUUAUCCUCGAAAUGACAUAAUUAG